rnacentral:sRNA from 1 species
UAUAAAAGUGUCGUCAAUGAUCAGCCAGGCAAAGGAUUUAUACCCUGUACUGGAUGGACAUUCCACGACCUGACUUGUAUGAGCAAGUAAAGCAUUUGCCUGGAUUGCGAAUACGGACAGCGAUGUCGAGAGUGCAUAGCACGAAGACAUCGGCUUUUAUA